ensembl:lncRNA
UCUCCAGAGUCCUGGAAAUAAGGCCUCCACAGGGAAUUAGACAACAGCCCCAUAAAACUAAAACAGUCACACAGGUGAAUGUAGCCCAUAAUACAGUGAUCAUAAUAUUUUCCCCAUUUUCUGAACAUACUAUCAAACCCAAUUAAUCAGAGAAGUAUCCACCCCAGAGUUUUCUGUCAACCCGUGAGCCAGGGUGGUCAAACCAGCUGAGGCUUCGGGCACUGAUUCGUCCAGAGCUGUGUUAUUUGGGAUGUCACCCACGAUAAGACAGCUCAGACAAACAGCUUCCAUGUGAAGCCCCACCCUUUCCCCGAGAACACAUCACUUAGCAAGAGCCAGACACAUCUUCACUUCUAUGAACAAAAACAGGGGUGACAGGACAGGGAGGGUUACUUCAUUCGAGAGAUGGCCCCCGGAAUUCUGUUAAUUCCAGUUCUCCUCUCGAACACUGUUUAUUGUUCGACAGUGUAAAUGUGUCUUACCCUCCCGCCGUGCGAUAUGAAUCCGGGUAGCUCUUUCAGCUAGCUGUCACCAGGAGACCUUGGUAUGGUCCCCCCAACAAGCCUCUGGGACUGGAUUGAGUGACUUCACCUGUAGUUCACCUAUAAUGCAUAAAAUGCUGGACAUACAGGCUUGGUUAACAAACAGUUUCUCAUAUGUUUUAUCUGAUUAUAUCUUUACCUUCUAUGCCCAUUUGUUUAGCUACAUUUUUUUUAAAUGAUUAGUUUCUUAUCCAAUAGGCCCCAUCCUAUCCUAGACCACAAUUUACCUAUCCCCCUUUUGAUACCUGGCUCUGCCCAGGUAACAACCUUACCUACUCUAAAUAAUGACUUAGGUAAGAUUAGUAUAUUAUCCUUCUGUUCUGACAUUAUCAUGUAGGAGCGCCCCUUUAAUUUUCCACAUGUCCAAUUCUCCCUUUUGUCUCCACUCAGUGACUGUUAUCUACACAUUCUGUUAUCUUUGCUCGUCCUGGCUCCCUUCUAAAACUUCUCCUCUCUGCUCUCCAACCUUCAAGGUCUCUGCAGUGCGGGGGAGGGCUCUUCUGUCUGCCUUUUCCCAUGUUUCCACAUUUUAACUAAAUGUCUCACUGUUUGGCUUUAUCUAAACUCAUGGAUUUUUUUUAUAUUUUUUUAUUUAUUUAUUUUUUAUUUUUUAGAAAAACAUGUCUAUGGUGGCAAUUUCUAAAGUCUUUAUAUAGGUUAAUUAAACUCCACUAUAAUUAAGUACCUUUAAAAAACAAAUUAAAUUUCAAAAAACUUUUUAAUCUUUUCAUUUAUUUUUUAGACAGUAUUACCCAUGAC